rnacentral:rRNA from 1 species
UUAUUUGAAAUAGAAUACAACCUACACCACCGGGUAAGACAGGGGAAUAAAAAUAAAGUGGGCCCAAAAGCAGCCAUCUUUAAAAAAGCGUCAAAGCUUGACUAUCGCACCCCCAAAUCACUAAAACACCCGCUAACCCCUCAUUCCUACUGAACCAUUUUAUAUUGUUAUAAAAACGACGAUGCUAGAACUAGUAACAUGAACUUGCCAUUCUCCACAAUGUAAAUAUAUACCAAAACGGACCCUCCAUUGGUAAUUAACGUAAAUGCAUAAACCAUAAUAACAUAAAACCAGAAAAUCUUAUGGUUAUCUUCACGUUACCCUAACACUAGAACAUUCCAGGAAAGAUUAAAAGAAAGAGAAGGAACUCGGCAAAUUUUAGCCCCGCCUGUUUACCAAAAACAUCGCCUCCUGAUUAAAUAUAGGAGGUCCAGCCUGCCCAGUGAUAAUAUUCAACGGCCGCGGUAUUUUAACCGUGCGAAGGUAGCAUAAUCACUUGUUCUUUAAAUGGGGACUCGUAUCAACGGCAUCACGAGGGCUAUACUGUCUCCUCUCUCCAAUCAGUGAAACUGAUCUCCCCGUGAAGAAGCGGGGAUUUAAUU